UAGUUGCUUCUUUAGUUUUGUUUUAAAAUUUAAUUUUGAUGGAAUUAAGAUUUG
rnacentral:tRNA from 1 species